UUGCACAGUGAACACUCAAAUGUGCUUUGUAGUUCUCUUGGUUUAACUCUGUGCUAGUACAAUGUUUCUUUACCUUUUCAUUGAAAGGACUAUCCUUUUAAGUAUAUUAACAGAGUCAGCACGUUA
ensembl:snoRNA